rnacentral:pre_miRNA from 2 species
CGUCCUUUGGGGUGAGGUAGUAGGUUGUAUAGUUUGGGGCUCCGCCCUGCUGUGGCUAACUAUACAAUCUACUGUCUUUCCUGAAGUGGCCG